rnacentral:rRNA from 1 species
AGCAGCCGCGGUAAUUCCAGCUCCAAUAGCGUAUAUUAAAGUUGUUGCAGUUAAAAAGCUCGUAGUUGAAUUUCGGGGUUAGUAGGUUGGUCGUGCCUCCGGUAUGUACUGAUCUCACUGAUUCCUCCUUCCUUAUGAACCGUAGUGCCAUUAAUUUGGUGUUGCGGGGAAUUUGGACUGUUACUUUGAAAAAUUAGAGUGUUUAAAGCAGGCUAACGCUUGAAUACAUUAGCAUGGAAUAAUGAAAUAGGACGUUCGAUCUUAUUUUGUUGGUUUCUAGGAUUGACGUAAUGAUUAAUAGGGAUAGUUGGGGGCAUUAGUAUUCAAUUGUCAGAGGUGAAAUUCUUGGAUUUAUUGAAGGCUAACUACUGCGAAAGCAUUUGCCAAGGAUGUUUCAUUAAUCAAGAACGAAAGUUAGGGGAUCGAAGACGAUCAGAUACCGUCGUAGUCUUAACCAUAAACUAUGCCGACUAGGGAUCGGAUGAUGUUAAUUUUUUAAUGACUCAUUCGGCGCCUUACG